UAGAUGGCGACCGGCGCACGGGUGAGUAACACGUAUCCAACCUGCCGAUAACUCGGGGAUAGCCUUUCGAAAGAAAGAUUAAUACCCGAUGGUAUAAUCAGACCGCAUGGUCUUGUUAUUAAAGAAUUUCGGUUAUCGAUGGGGAUGCGUUCCAUUAGGUUGUUGGUGAGGUAACGGCUCACCAAGCCUUCGAUGGAUAGGGGUUCUGAGAGGAAGGUCCCCCACAUUGGAACUGAGACACGGUCCAA
rnacentral:rRNA from 1 species